GUCAACGCCGUAAACGAUGGAUACUAGCUGUUGGGGCAACUUCAGUGGCUAAGCGAAAGUGAUAAGUAUCCCACCUGGGGAGUACGUUCGCAAGAAUGAAACUCAAAGGAAUUGACGGGGCCCGCACAAGCGGUGGAGCAUGUGGUUUAAUUCGAUGAUACGCGAGGAACCUUACCAAGGCUUAAAUGUAGUCUGACCGAUUUUGGAAACAGAUCUUUCGCAAGACAGAUUACAAGGUGCUGCAUGGUUGUCGU
rnacentral:rRNA from 1 species